rnacentral:lncRNA from 1 species
CAGAUCCUAAGCACUGGGUAUGAAGGCCAAGCAAAAAGCCUUGGUUCUGGGCAGGAUCUGCAGUCACAUUUCUAGAUUACCAGCUCAUCCAGGACUUGAGAGACCAAGACCCAGGAGAAAAGGAAACCUCAGAGAGGUCUUAAUUUUCAUCCAGACCACCUUCAGCCCACUUCUACUGACCACAAGCUUUUGGAUCCUGCCCUGGGUCUCUGAGCACAGCAGAAUACAGGAGAAUCCCUUUCUUCUGGAGACAUGAUGCCUUAUCUUCCCUCCCAAAGGACCAUCUCUGCUUCAAUUCCACUGCCAGCCACAUCCUUGCUACCACCCUCUUACUACUUCCUAUUCCAGCCAAACUGUAUUAGUUUUUAAUUUAUUUCACUCAGUUAUUCUUAUUACAGUUUAAAUAUAGAAAAUACAAAAUAUGGAUAUUUAUUUUAUUUCUUAUUAUACAAGCAUAUCCAUGUUAUCUUUGAUAUUGCUACUUGGUCCACACAGGUGGAUAAGGUACCAUAUUUACCAUCUGACCCUUUAUAGAAAAAGUUAGCUGACCCCUCGUCUAAACUAUGAAGACAGAAACAUCUGUUUUUUUCCUUAUUGUAGUCCCACAACAGGUGUAAAUGUGUCCUAAAUGAAUAUCAUUAAGUGAAUAAAUGAUGGAAAAAUUGUAAAAAAAA